CAGCAUAAAUGUUACAUUGUUGCGACAUGUGAUCGAGAUUUGAAGCGAAGGAUACGUAAGAUCCCUGGUGUACCAAUUAUGUACAUUACUCAACACAAAUAUUCAAUUGAACGGCUGCCCGAAACAACAAUAGGUGGAGUUCCAAGAAUUUGAGACAUCAUAUGCAAGAAUGGGAUAUUACGUGGUUUGGUCACAACCUUGUCUGUUCUGUAUACAUUAUUAGAAGGAAGUAUUUUUUCCCUCCCAAAAUAUCAUGCUGUCUUUUUUUAUAUUUCUGUCCAGUGAUAGGCAAGGUCCUAGUGGAUGUUUAGCAUUACCUAGUGCCUGUCGUCAGUAAGGCUGCUCCCUUCCGUCAAAAGACGACAUAGAAAUUUUGUUCUAGCUCUAUAAUUAUUCAAGUUGCCAUUUGAAAUCAUGUUGAUAUGAAUUUGAUGGUAGUCAAUAUUAACCACAC